rnacentral:misc_RNA from 1 species
AACGCACAUUGCGCCCGCCAGAACUCUGGCGGGCAUGCCUGUCCGAGCGUCAUUUCAACCCUCGCGCCCCCCGGCCCUUGCGGUCUCGGGGCGCGGUGUUGGGGACCGGCCGGCGGCCCUCCGGGGCCCGCGAGCCGCCCCCGAAUGACAGUGGCGGUCGCGCCGCGGCUCCCCAUGCGUAGUAGAAUACACCUCGCAACGGGACCGGGUGCGCCCACGCCGUAAAACCCCCGACGCAAGACCUCUAAGGUUGACCUCGGAUCAGGUAGGAGUACCCGCUGAACUUAA